rnacentral:rRNA from 1 species
ACUCCUACGGGAGGCAGCAGUAGGGAAUCUUCGGCAAUGGACGAAAGUCUGACCGAGCAACGCCGCGUGAGUGAAGAAGGUUUUCGGAUCGUAAAACUCUGUUGGUAGAGAAGAACGUUGGUGAGAGUGGAAAGCUCAUCAAGGACGGUAACUACCC